rnacentral:rRNA from 1 species
UUGAACGCUGGCGGAAUGCUUUACACAUGCAAGUCGAGCGGCAGCGCGGGGGCAACCCUGGCGGCGAGCGGCGAACGGGUGAGUAACACAUCGGAACGUACCCUGUCGUGGGGGAUAACACAUCGAAAGAUGUGCUAAUACCGCAUACGACCUGAGGGUGAAAGCGGGGGAUCGCAAGACCUCGCGCGAUAGGAGCGGCCGAUGUCGGAUUAGCUAGUUGGUGAGGUAAAGGCUCACCAAGGCGACGAUCCGUAGCUGGUCUGAGAGGACGACCAGCCACACUGGAACUGAGACACGGUCCAGACUCCUACGGGAGGCAGCAGUGGGGAAUUUUGGACAAUGGGCGCAAGCCUGAUCCAGCAAUGCCGCGUGCAGGAUGAAGGCCUUCGGGUUGUAAACUGCUUUUGUACGGAACGAAACGGUUCUCUUUAAUAAAGAGGGCUAAUGACGGUACCGUAAGAAUAAGCACCGGCUAACUACGU